UACAGAGGUGCCAAGCGUUGUUCGGAUUUAUUGGGCGUAAAGGGUGCGUAGGCGGUGAUGCAAGUCGGGUGUGAAAUACCGGAGCCUAACUCCGGAACGGCAUUCGAAACUGCAUCGCUAGAGAUCUGGAGAGGGGAGUGGAAUUCUCGGUGUAGCAGUGAAAUGCGUAGAUAUCGAGAGGAACACCAGAGGCGAAAGCGACUCACUGGACAGAAGCUGACGCUGAGGCACGAAAGCUAGGGGAGCAAACGGG
rnacentral:rRNA from 1 species